UACGGGGGGGGCAAGCGUUGUUCGGAAUUACUGGGCGUAAAGGGCUCGUAGGCGGCCAACUAAGUCAUACGUGAAAUCCCUCGGCUUAACCGGGGAACUGCGUCUGAUACUGGAUGGCUUGAGUUCGGGAGAGGGAUGCGGAGUUCCAGGUGUAGCGGUGAAAUGCGUAGAUAUCUGGAGGAACACCGGUGGCGAAGGCGGCAUCCUGGACCGAGACUGACGCUGAGGAGCGAAAGCCAGGGGAGCAAACGGG
rnacentral:rRNA from 1 species